GUGAAGGGCACAGCUGUCCUCGCUGGAUUAUACCCACAGGGAGGGCGGACGACAAUUGAUAACGCUCAUGAGCAAGGAACAAAGCAGGGGCUGGGGAAAGAAUCAAUUAAGCUGCCUCGUAGCUGGGUGGCAUUUGGGGGAGGACACGGAUGGCUGUGAAAUAUGGGCAAGGUGCUGCAAGGCUCUGCUCACCCCUCCCGCAGCAGGCUGCGGUGCUGGAGGGGGGGCACUGCACGAGGGAGCCCCCAGCCCUGGUUUGGGGAGGUCUGGGGCAGCCUCUUACACACAAACACUGACCCAGGAGGGUCCUGCAUGAACUUCAGAGCACUGAGCUCCCACCUACCAACACAUCUCCAGAGCUGCCGGGUGCUUCAGCGGGUGUUUAACGCACAAACGAGCUUCCAUACCGCUCCAGUUCCAGCUCUGGGGGUGUUUGGCAGGGACCAAGUCCUCCCCAGGGCGAUAGCAACCCGGGGAUGUGCAUUAAAUGAGCUGUUUUACAGGCAGCAGGUGACUGCCUCCAGCAGCGCAGCGAGAGCUGCUCGGCAAAGCCGCCCCGCGGCCGCAGGGACACACCGGGGGAGUUCGCUGGGGACUCGAUGUUCGCUGCCACCAGGGUGUUCACUGCGUUUGCUGGGCGCAGAGAGACACAGUGGAAAACAAAGGCGGCUGCUCUUCUCCCAGGUGCUGGAAAGCUGCUGCCAGGUCCCCCAAAGCCACCUCCUCUCCAGCCUCUCCUGAUAAUGGGAGCCCCAAAAUGGGCACUGUAUUCCCCAGCUGCUCCCCCAGCCAGAUCUUGUCACCUGCAAAACCAAUGAGCGUCCAUCUGUCCCCUUCUCCCUGUUGCAGUUAAGGACACCCUGUGGGAAAACCCCACAGCUCGGACCACCGAGGAGCCCCCCUACCAACACGAUCCAUGGGUUCCUUCCCUCUGGGCACAGCGACGGG